rnacentral:rRNA from 1 species
GAUGAACGCUAGCGGCAGGCCUAAUACAUGCAAGUCGAACGGUGAUAGCAAUAUCAUAGUGGCGCACGGGUGCGUAACACGUAUGCAACCUACCUAUUAUUGGGGGAUAGCCUUUGGAAACGGAGAUUAAUACCGCAUAAUACGAUUGACUGGCAUCGGUUGAUUGUUAAAGCUUCGGCGAUAAUAGAUGGGCAUGCGUCCAAUUAGUUAGUUGGUGAGGUAAUGGCUCACCAAGACGAUGAUUGGUAGGGGAUCUGAGAGGAUAAUCCCCCACACUGGCACUGAGGUACGGGCCAGAAUCCUACGGGAGGCAGCAGUAGGGAAUAUUGGGCAAUGGAGGGAACUCUGACCCAGCCAUGCCGCGUGCAGGAAGAAGGCGUUAUGCGUUGUAAACUGCUUUUUUAUAGGAAGAAGGAUCUCUUGCGAGAGAAGGUGACGGUACCAUAAGAAUAAGCACCGGCUAACUCCGUGCCAGCAGCCGCCGCAGUAA